CCCUGGUAAGAUUUACAGCAAUCAGGAGUACAGGGUUCUUUGAAUGCAUCGUACUUCUCGUCUGAUAGUUUAAUUUCCGGGCUUGCCCUGAAGGCAUCACCUGCAGCUCGGUGCGUGUGAAGGCGUGGUGUAGAGGAACAAAGACGGCAAGGAAAAACUCCAUGCUGCCACGAAGCACGGUUUUUCCCAGUUGAAAGAGAGAAAAGAAGUUCCAUUAACAUUUGUGAGACAGCUGCUGUAAGCGGUGAACCCCAGACGGGUACCUACCUCGAAGGAGUCGGAGUGUUUCUUCGAACUUUUUGAACUAUUCUGACUGUUUUUUUUUUUGAGGGACAAUUCCAUGUGUGCUGCAUAAGGAGCUGCCAUCGCAGAUCUAGGACACUGUUGCUGCUGUGGAGGCCUUCUGUGUGUCAGGACGCGACUCGUUGAUGCCUGCCGUACCAGGAGGGCGGUAGGAAAAAA